UACGUAGGGGGCUAGCGUUGUCCGGAAUCAUUGGGCGUAAAGCGCGUGUAGGCGGUUCGGUAAGUCUGCUGUGAAAGUCGGGGGCUCAACCCUCGAAUGCCGGUGGAUACUGUCGGACUAGAGUGCGGAAGAGGCGAGUGGAAUUCUGGUGUAGCGGUGAAAUGCGCAGAUAUCAGGAAGAACACCCGUGGCUAAGGCGGCUCUCUAGUACGGUACUGACGCUGAGACGCGAAAGCGUGGGGAGCGAACAGG
rnacentral:rRNA from 1 species